rnacentral:rRNA from 1 species
GACGAACGCUGGCGGCGUGCUUAACACACGCAAGCCGAACGGAAAGGCCCUGCUUUUGUGGGGUGCUCGAGUGGCGAACGGGUGAGUAACACGUGAGUAACCUGCCCUUGACUUUGGGAUAACUUCAGGAAACUGGGGCUAAUACCGGAUAGGAGCUCCUGCUGCAUGGUGGGGGUUGGAAAGUUUCGGCGGUUGGGGAUGGACUCGCGGCUUAUCAGCUUGUUGGUGGGGUAGUGGCUUACCAAGGCUUUGACGGGUAGCCGGCCUGAGAGGGUGACCGGCCACAUUGGGACUGAGAUACGGCCCAGACUCCUACGGGAGGCAGCAGUGGGGAAUAUUGCACAAUGGGCGGAAGCCUGAUGCAGCAACGCCGCGUGCGGGAUGACGGCCUUCGGGUUGUAAACCGCUUUCGCCUGUGACGAAGCGUGAGUGACGGGAAUGGGUAAAGAAGCACCGGCGAACUACGU